AACCAGCACCUCAAGUGGUCAGGAUGAUUAUUGGGCCUAAAGCAUCCGUAGCCGGCUCUGUAAGUUUUCGGUUAAAUCUGUACGCUCAACGUACAGGCUGCCGGGAAUACUGCAGAGCUAGGGAGUGGGAGAGGUAGACGGUACUCGGUAGGAAGGGGUAAAAUCCUUUGAUCUAUUGAUGACCACCUGUGGCGAAGGCACUUUACUGGGCUAUUACUGACACUCAGAGACGAAAGCUAGGGUAGCAAAUGGG
rnacentral:rRNA from 1 species